GACGAACGCUGGCGGCGUGCCUAAUACAUGCAAGUCGAACGAGAGCGACCGGUGCUUGCACUGGUCAAUCUAGUGGCGAACGGGUGAGUAACACGUGGGUAACCUGCCCAUCAGAGGGGGAUAACAUUCGGAAACGGAUGCUAAAACCGCAUAGGUCUUCGAACCGCAUGGUUUGAAGAGGAAAAGAGGCGCAAGCUUCUGCUGAUGGAUGGACCCGCGGUGCAUUAGCUAGUUGGUGAGGUAACGGCUCACCAGGGCCGUGAUGCAUAGCCGACCUGAGAGGGUGAUCGGCCACAUUGGGACUGAGACACGGCCCAAACUCCUACGGGAGGCAGCAGUAGGGAAUCUUCCGCAACGGACGCAAGUCUGACGGAGCAACGCCGCGUGAGUGAAGAAGGUUUUCGGAUCGUAAAACUCUGUUGUUAGAGAAGAAUAAGUGCUAGAGUAACUGUUAGCGCCUUGACGGUAUCUAACCAGAAAGCCACGGCUAACUACGUG
rnacentral:rRNA from 1 species